rnacentral:rRNA from 1 species
UACGGGGGGGGCAAGCGUUGUUCGGAAUUACUGGGCGUAAAGGGCUCGUAGGCGGCCAACUAAGUCGGAUGUGAAAUCCCCAGGCUUAACCUGGGAACUGCAUCCGAUACUGGAUGGCUUGAAUCCGGGAGGGGGAUGCAGAAUUCCAGGUGUAGCGGUGAAAUGCGUAGAUAUCUGGAGGAAUACCGGUGGCGAAGGCGGCAUCCUGGACCGGCACUGACGCUCAUGCACGAAAGCGUGGGGAGCAAACAGG